rnacentral:rRNA from 1 species
CAUCGGUGACAGGUGGUGCAUGGUUGUCGUCAGCUCGUGUCGUGAGAUAUUGGGUUAAGUCCCGCAACGAGCGCAACCCCUAUUGUUAGUUGCCAUCAUUCAGUUGGGCACUCUAGCGAGACUGCCGGUAAUAAACCGGAGGAAGGUGGGAUGACGUCAAAUCAUCAUGCCCCUUAUGACCUGGGCUACACACGUGCUACAAUGGUUGGUACAACGAGUUGCGAGUCGGUGACGGCGAGCUAAUCUCUUAAAGCCAAUCUCAGUUCGGAUUGUAGGCUGCAACUCGCCUACAUGAAGUCGGAAUCGCUAGUAAUCGCGGAUCAGCACGCCGCGGUGAAUACGUUCCCGGGCCUU